rnacentral:sRNA from 1 species
GAGGUCUCAUGAUCCCUCUACAGCGAACCUUUGGAAGCCUUUGCCCCCAGGAAUGGGAUCUUAGCGACUAUAAACAAGUGAGAUAGCGCAGGUAGCCUUGAUGGCUGCGACAUGAUCGAAUUGCGGGGACACCCUAAAGCCCCAGAGUACUAACCCUCUUCUGCAAAGAAUUGGGGGCCUGUAGUAAUGAUACAGGGUACAGUAAUAAGCUCUGGGGAUACGCACCGGCUUCCGGUCGCCAUGGGCAAUCCGCAGCGAAGCCCUGGAAGCCCUGAGCUCCAGGGAACGUUCACAGACUAAGUGAUUAUGGGUAGGUGCCAGUUCACCUGCUUAAGAUAUAGCCGGACUACCCUGGAAACAUGGUAGGUAUUCGCAACAGGAUACGUAUCUUCUCGGCUUGGGUCGAGAAGGUAAGAACUCGCUCCGUAGGUGAACCUGCGGAGGGAUCAUUACAGAGUUCGUGCCCGCCUGGGUAGAUCUCCCACCCGUGACAUCUCACACCUUUGUUGCUUUGGCGGGCUUGUGGCCCUGCUGCUGCCCGCCAGAGGCCCCUAACUCAGUAAUUUUAGUAUCGUCUGAGUCCUACAAAAUAGUUAAAACUUUCAACAACGGAUCUCUUGGUUCUGGCAUCGAUGAAGAACGCAGCGAAAUGCGAUAAGUAAUGUGAAUUGCAGAAUUUAGUGAAUCAUCGAAUCUUUGAACGCACAUUGCGCCCUAUGGUAUUCCGUAGGGCAUGCCUGUUCGAGCGUCAUUGCAACCCUCAAGCGCUGCUUGGUCUUGGGCCCGCCUGCUGGGCGAGCCCCAAAUACAGUGGUAGUGCUCCCCGGCCCUGAGCGUAGUACAUCACCCGCUACAGGGCCUGGGGAACCGCGAGCCAGCAAUUUUUACCCCUCAAGGUGACCUCGGAUU